rnacentral:rRNA from 1 species
UACGUAGGGGCCGAGCGUUGUCCGGAGUUACUGGGCGUAAAGCGCGCGCAGGCGGCGCGGUAAGCAUGGCGUGAAAGCCCCCGCUCAACCGGGGAGGGUCGCCGUGGACUGCCGUGCUUGAGGGCGGCAGGGGUCGGUGGAAUGCCCGGUGUAGUGGUGAAAUGCGUAGAGAUCGGGCGGAACACCCGUGGCGGAAGGCGGCCGACUGGGGCCGGCCCUGACGCUGAGGCGCGAAGGCGUGGGGAGCGAACGGGG